CACCCAGUAAGAUUCUGCCUCAGGCCAGAGUGGGAGGCAAGAAUGAGGUUUUUUCCAAGCUCCCAGGUCCUAUAAGAUGUCUAGGAGCCCAGGAGGCAGCAAAGAACACAAGUCCAGCCUGGGUCCCAGUGGCAACAGAUGCUGGAGAGGUGAGGCAUCCCCAUGCUGCUGCCCAAUUGGCUGUCCCCCAAGCUCCUUCUGUGGUGGCAAUUCUUUGAUCACACUGACACUUGCUCUGAAGAUAUCUACUCCACUCAAGGUGGCCUUCUCACCUCUGGAAGGAGGCCAGGAAAGCUGCAGUUUUCGCCUCAUAUCAGGAAUUCCGUAAAAAUGUGUUGCACGCGUGAAUGUCCCAGCCUGGCUUAGGUCCAUGCCUGGCCUUUCACCUGAAGCCAUAGAGGUUGGAAUCUAAGGGUAAGUGGAUGAGUCUUUCAGUUUCCCAUGGACAAGAGGUGCUGACAUGACUGGGAAGUUGCCCUAUAAAUUAAAGUUUUUAGAGUCUGGGUAUCACUCUAGAUUUUCAAGAUGUAUAAAAUAGCCGGUAGGAGAAUAAAGAGAAUAUGAUAAAAAUUGGACUCGAAGAA
ensembl:lncRNA